rnacentral:misc_RNA from 1 species
GAUGAAGAACGCAGCGAAAUGCGAUAAGUAAUGCGAAUUGCAGAAUUCCAGUGAGUCAUCGAAUCUUUGAACGCACAUUGCGCCCUUUGGUAUUCCGAAGGGCAUGCCUGUUCGAGCGUCAUUAUCACCCCUCAAGCCCUCGGCUUGGUGUUGGACGGUUUGGUGGAGGCCCCUUCGGGGGCUCCUGCCCCUCCCAAAGACAAUGACGGCGGCCUCGUUGGACCCCCGGUACACUGAGUUCUUCACGGGACACGUAUCGGACACAUGGGUUUACGGGACACGGUCUGCCUCCCCUCAGGGAGAAUCUUUCUAAGGUUGACCUCGGAUCAGGUAGGGAUACCCGCUGAACUUAAGCAUAUCAAUAAGCGGAGGA